rnacentral:rRNA from 1 species
UCUUGGAGUCGGUGUAUUUGACGAGGCAGUUAUGAGUAGACGUCGGUGAAGACCAUAGGAUCCUGUUUGGGAGAGACAAGGUUGUGCUUCGCAGAGCGGCGGAGCCCUCCAAGCGGCCGGUCGCCGCUCUUCCUUCGCUCCGUCGCCGGUACCGAGCGGAAAGCGCCGAGAUGGAGGAGCGGAUGUUGAGGGACGUCCGGUAGCCUACCAGGCAGCGGGACGAGGCAGAGGAGGGGACGGAGCGGGGAGGGCAGAGGCAGGCGGGGCGCAUGCGGCGGCGGCCGCUGGAGUAUACGAAAGACGUCUGGACGCGCCAAGAACUCUGGCAGGUACGGCGGCAGCCUAACCAUGGGUGGAGCGGCAAAGAACAAAAGGACGUUACCCCUCCCUCCUGUGUGAAGUAGGAGCGGGAAGAGGCCGUUUGGGGACUCCAAGUCCCGUCAGGGAGACACAAUUAUUGCAAAUACCGAACCUCGUAUAGACUCCAGUAAGCUAUGAGAGUGAUACGAGACUGAUGCAAUUUUCAAACAGGUCGUACCGACUGAAUGGAGUCACACGGAUGUUUCUGUGAAAAGGAAUUAGAACAUUAGGUGACAACACGAGAUGAGAGGAACGGUACAGACGUACGUUACACCUGAUACAUGGUUCGAGAAGGUAAACAUUUCCUCUCCCUGGAGAUGAGUCCGAAGAAACGUUUCAAGAGGUACUCGAUGGUAAGAAAAGACCACCCACACGACGACACGAUAGGUGACGACACCGACUUCGACAUGGACGUACACAAGUUCGUCGCGUUCAGGUUCGACCCUUUCCACCUGUUCUUCUUUGCCCGUACUCCGUUCGUCUAAAAACCCUCCCAUAACGUCGACUUCGUCAACGCCGCGAACCGACCCAACUUGUUGUUGAAUGAUAUGACGGUCGUCUAAUGACACCGACAGAUGGAAACCUUGUUGUUGAAUAAUAUGUUGAUCGUCUCAUGAUUAGAGUUUAUAAAAACUCUCAUUAAGUCAAACGGGUAAAACCUCCAAUACACGUGACUCUCGUUUAUCCACAUAUGAAGAAAAGAUACUCUUUUGCCAACCUGUCAUCUAGUCCGGAAUACUCUUUCCGCUCCUUCCGGGUAUCGACGGAAAACAAAAAACAUGAAGUUAAACUAUAUCACUUAAAGGUAGUAACGUGUACGUCUUUAAUGAAGAU